UUCAGCCUACGGGAGGCAGCAGUGAGGAAUAUUGGUCAAUGGGCGCGAGCCUGAACCAGCCAAGUCGCGUGAGGGAUGACGGCCCUACGGGUUGUAACCCUCUUUUGUCGGGGAGCAAAUUCCGCCACGCGUGGCGGAGUCGAGAGUACCCGAAGAAAAAGCAUCGGCUAACUCCGUGCCAGCAGCCGCGGUAAUACGGAGGAUGCGCGCGUUAUCCGGAUUUAUUGGGUUUA
rnacentral:rRNA from 1 species